CGUGUAGGCGGGCGAUCAAGUCAGAUGUAAAAGGCGACGGCUUAACCGUAGUAUGUCAUCUGAUACUGGUUGUCUUGAGUUCGAGAGAGGGUGGUGGAAUUCCCGGUGUAGCGGUGAAAUGCGUAGAUAUCGGGAAGAACACCUGAAGCGAAGGCGGCCACCUGGCUCGACACUGACGCUGAGGCGCGAAAGCGUGGGGAGCAAACA
rnacentral:rRNA from 1 species